AUUCUGGAGGACAGGACGUUGCGUUUUUUCCGUUUUCUCCGAAUAUAACAGUUAAUUUACUGUUUAUAAAUAACGAAUUUUUACGUUUUUUUAAUUCGCUAAAACUUUAAGAAAAAAAAUGUUUCCAAAAGGAAACGCAACGUUUUGUACUCCGGAAUAUUGUUCUAUGUUAAUUUCAUAAUGGGUGCUUUUACUUUAAAACCAAAACCAAGCUAGUUUUGUGUAGUCUGCGUAAGCAUGUUUUUACUAUAUAUUGUUUGUCUUACGAAACCACAAAAUAAUGCAUGUGUAACGUCCUCUUAAAUAAAUUGGCUUCACUAAAUAUACAUCGUGAUUUAACUAUUGAUUUCAACUAAGUAUUAAAUUAACUGUUUUCUAUCUCUCAUAGUCAUGCUAACUUAAAAUAAAAUAAUAACAAUUAAAAUACUAUUAACGAGAGAUU